rnacentral:miRNA from 1 species
UCCCUGAGACCAUAACAUUGUGA